UCUUUGAUGGACGUCACGCAACUCUGUGACCAAUUUUGUCACGUAUAAGCCUGAAAUCACGCGUGUCAUACCAAAAUACUCUUUAUAAUUUGGGGAAGAAGAGGAUAAAUAUAAUUUUGAAAAUUCUCUAAUAGUGUCAGACUGGAUCAGAGUGCCGGUCCCGUCAUCCAUGGACUGGCUUGGAAAGCGGAGGGAAGGAACUUUGGUAAAAGGUCUAAAGUCCUACAAUACUAAUCAAAGGAGUGAACACUGCUGUCAGAAUCAAAGGCUUACUCCGUAACAAUAAAGCUACCCCGUGGGUGCUUUCUUGCGGAUCUUCCUGGCCGUGAGAAUGCUGC